rnacentral:lncRNA from 1 species
AUAAAUACCGAGAUCAUCAUCACGGUUUCGACAUCCCUCUCACCGUAACCACCUCGAAACCGCACACAUCUUCCACCACACUCCAGCCACCGGAAAACCUGCAAAUCACCGAAACCCAUCACAUCCUUCCACUCGAAACCUCCUCUCAUCCUCUCUGUUCGUUAACAAGUUAUCGGAUAAGUUCGGAGUUCCACCAGAGAGAAUUGAGGUUCACAGGGGACAUUGAACGCUGCCGGAGAUCGGAGACGACGACCGGAACCUCGCCGGAGUCGCCGGAGAAGACGAUCCUUCCGGGUAAUCCUCUUGUGCACGUCUCUUGGGAAAUCUUUGAUUCUCAAACCUUUCUUCUCACCAAGAAAACGCAACGCAAAAUAAGGAAACAUUUUAAACACGUACUAUGCUAUGUGCUUUUAUACUUGCUAGUGGCAAUAGGUGCCAGCGGCAGAGGUGGACUUAGCGAUGGAGAUGGCAGAGAUGGAGGUGAUAGGGGCGACGGUGGUUGUGGAGAUGGGGCAACAACAGUGAAAAGAUCAGUGGUGGCCAAGAUGGUGGUAGUUGCGGGAAAGGUGAUGACAACUAGUAGAUGGGGGAUGGUGCUCGUCCAUUUGAACUCGUUUAAGUUAACAAGUUUUUUUAUCCGUUUUAUAAUUUAAGCAGACACAACUUGACUCUU